rnacentral:misc_RNA from 1 species
AGAGUUAAAAAGUACGUGAAAUUGUUAAAAGGGAAACGAUUGAAACCAGUGUUUCUAUUAGGAAAUCAGCUAACAGCUAGUUUUAGUCAAUGGUGUAAGAGUGUUAAAGCCUUUGCCGUUGAACAAGAUUAGUUGUCAGUGCACUUUACUAAUGGAGAGUCAACAUCAGUUUCGGGUGGCGGACAAGACUCGAGAGAAGGUGGCUCACUCUUCGGGGUGAGUGUUAUAGCUUUCGAGGGAUACGUUGCCUGGGACUGAGGACUGCAGUACGACCUUCGGGAUGGCACUACUUGAGUCAGUUUGGUCAUAACUUGGCAGACAGCUUGCUGACUGUUGGGGUAGCGAUUGAACAUGGGCUUGAGAGGGGUGACCUUACGUGCUAAGGAUGUUGACAAAAUGGUUUUAAACGACC